rnacentral:snoRNA from 1 species
UUUGCAUGAUGAUAAAAAUAAAUUUCAGUUCUGCUUCUGAACCAAGGAGGAAGAUAACCAAUAUUACCAAAGCUCAAUUACAUCUGAUCA